UUUGUAACCAGAAGAAGUAGAAGUGUGGUAAGGCCCCCAAGUAUUCACAUGUAUUAAUUGGAAUGGUCUAGUUGUACUGAUACUGCUGCCAGGAAAAGGGAGUCUAGUCUAUUUGGCCAUAGGGCAGACAGAACAGGGAAAAGGUUGUUUAGAAGCAAUAGGAAAAGACAAACCAGAAAUAUGUCUCAUAUUUGCAAAAGGAGUGUGUGCUAGUCUUAAAUGCCAAAUGUAAUUCAUAUCAUUGGUAACAACAUUAUUAAAAUGGAAUUGCUUACAAUUGGAGGUAAGCCAACAUUUUUGCUGUCAGACACAGUGUCAUCAUUACAAAAAUCAGACAAAGCACACACAGAAGUAAAAGGGGAAACAGGAGAGGGAGAAGGGGAAUGAGGCACCCAAGACAGUUUGUAUAAGCCAGCUUCCUCUUUACCAAGAUCCAGAGGCCUCUUCAAAGAAGGGUCCUGUAUCAUGUGAAGUAAACAGGAAGUUGGAGUAAACAAAACUAUACAGUGCAACUGUUUAAUCAACUUGUGAACAGAAAUCAAGUUGUGUUUCAGGAAGUUGGAGUGAACAAAACUAUACAGUGCAACUGUUUUAUCAACUUGGGAACAGAAAUCAAGAUGUGUUUAAAGGAAGGAACCAGAAGCACAUUAUGAAGAGUAAGGGAAGAAGUUAAUGCAAAAGUGAUCACUGGAAUCCCCUAACUUGGUCUGUUGCAACAAGCUCAUCAAUUGAUCAUAGUGGUGUCUGCUCAACCCUGAUAUCACAGAGCUGUGACCAUCUAUGUGUGUAACAUGGUGAUGGCUGGCAGGAGGAUCCCCAAGAGGAACAAACAAAUUAGGAUUCCCAUGAUUAACAGACACACAUUCCUCACCAGUGGAGACAUGAGCAGCUACAAAUUUCCUUCCCUUGUUGUAAUUUAUGUUUUGAGGAAACCCAUGGAUCUUGUAGCACUUAUCAAUUAAGUGCCCAGAUUUCUUGCAGUAUUUGCAAAAUAAGGGCCCUAUGCUUUGCUCAAAAUUAAUUCUGGCUCUGAAAAUAGGGGGUCUAGGCACUGUGGCCUGAUUAGAC
rnacentral:lncRNA from 1 species